rnacentral:sRNA from 1 species
AAAAAAACAAACCGGAUUAGGGGAUGCAAAUCUGCAUGCAUCUACCUGGUAAAAGGUCCCAUGGUCAGAGACGCCGAGUACUCGGGACUGAAACCAAGUCUUCCUCGUUGCAACUUCAGCGAGUCGGUUAUCAGUCGAGUAAUAGCAUUUCAACCUAACGGGCACAUCCCGUGUGUGAAGGCAUUGAUAUAAUUUUUCUUUAAGUUUAGCUAUAGUGAAAAUGUGAAUUAGUUUUGAAAAAAAAAAAACAGUGGUAGACCUUAGCAAUUUCCAAAAGUUCUAAACAAAAGAUAAUGUGGAAAAAAAAUCAAAGUUCUGUCAGCUAAUUGCACCUAUUUUUCUGUGGUGUCAUUUGUUGUUGAGAUGACUCACAACUCUUGGCGCUGGAAAAUUUCGGCAUGUAUCUGUUGCUCUAUGAAGGGACUUUAACUUUGCAUUUCGAGGUCGAAGCCUAUGUGCGUGUACAUAUUCUUAUGUAUACACAUAUCUAUAACGCUUUUUAUGGAAAAAUUUUGCCAGCUCUGCCAAAAUGCAUGCAAAUGAAAGACUUUUGUUUGGUGCCACACAGGAAAAUGAAAAAUCCAACACGACACGACACUUGAGAGAUGAAGCGUAAAAACAUACUUCAAAUCGUACAGUGCCAGUGUGUGGUGGCAUCACACGAAAGCGAAAGAGAUGAAAUCGGGCGAGUAAGGCGCUCCUACUCGCACACGAAUCGACGAAGAGCUGGGAAAAUGUUUGCAUUUGAAGCGGAAAGAAGCGAGACGGCUAUAGACCAGAGGAAUGCAAAGCGAAAUAGAAGAGUGAGCGUCAAAUUGAAAAAUAAAUACCAACAGUUGUCUCAGUGUGUAUAACAGUUGAGUGGCCAAAAAGUCCCUCACCACAGGGUGCACAAUACAUGUCGUUUUUGUUCUGAAUACAGAAUUGAAGGUGAAAACAAUUGUUGUGCGGAUAAGUUUGAAUACAAAAUUAUUAUUUGGCAUUUAUCUUUUGGAAGUUGUUAAGGUCUGCCAUCCUUUAGACUUUGAGGAGGGAGAGAUUAGGCUGACAGAAACUAGACGGAAACUAGACAGAUUUAAAGUUAGUUAGCUUUCAGCUAAAGAUGUUUUCGAUUAUUGAGAUCAUUAACGGGGGUUUUCGAAAUUUUGAAAAAUUUGUAGUUUUUUAAUUCAGUUUAGAACAUAGUUCAGAUACUAGACCUGUAUUUUAAAUAUAUGUUUCAAGAUGAGAGAGUAGUCAACAAAACUUGAAACCAGUUUUAUUUUUUCGAAGAUUUUCAUGUGUAAAUUCGUUUAAAGCGAAUGUCAUUUCACUCAUUACACUCAUAAUUUCACAAUAUUCAUCUAAAAACACACACAAACAAAUAUUUCAUAUUCACACACACAAACAACAAUAACACAUCUACUAAAAUAUGUGAAAUCAAAUUUAUUUCGAAAAAUGUAGCAAAAAAAAAAAAAAAAAUUUUGAAACGUUUUCCGAAAUGUAGCGAAAAGAAUUUUCGAAUUGCGUAGAACCGAAACGUGUUUCGAAAGUUUUUUGUUAAAAAAAAACUUAGAAAUACGGUAAAAAAAAAA